AACGAACGCUGGCGGCAGGUCUUAGGCAUGCAAGUCGAACGGGUGUAGCAAUACAUCAGUGGCGCACGAGUGAGUAACGCGUGGGAAGCUGCCCUUCACUGGGGAAUAACGUUUGGAAACGAACGCUAAUACCGCAUACGCCUGACCACUUAAACUUUUUUAUCAAUAGAUUUUGCGAACGCAAAACCGGAAAAUUUAAGCGGUCAGGGAAAGAUUUAUCGGUGAAGGAUGCGCCCGCGUUGGAUUAGCUUGUUGGUGGGGUAACGGCCCACCAAGGCGAUGAUCCAUAGCUGGUCUGAGAGGACGAUCAGCCACGCUGGAACUGAGAUACGGUCCAGACUCCUACGGGAGGCAGCAGCUAAGAAUAUUGGGCAAUGGAGGAAACUCUGACCCAGCCAUGCCGCGUGAAUGAAGAAGGCCUUCGGGUUGUAAAGUUCUUUUAGUGGUGAAGAUGAUGACAGUAGCCACAGAAAAAGCACCGGCUAACUUCGUGCCAGCAGCCGCGGUAAUACGAAGGGUGCAAGCGUUGUUCGGAUUUACUGGGCGUAAAGCGUCCGCAGGUGGUUUGUUAAGUCAGGGGUGAAAUCCCGGGGCCCAACCCCGGAACUGCCUUUGAUACUGGCAAGCUGGAGCGCGGAAGAGGAAGAUGGAAUAUCUGGUGUAGGGGUGAAAUCCGUAGAUAUCAGAUGGAACACCAAUGGCGAAGGCAGUCUUCUGGUCCGUUGCUGACACUCAUGGACGAAAGCGUGGGGAGCAAACAGAAUUAGAUACUCUGGUAGUCCACGCCCUAAACGAUGCAUGCUUGUUGUUGGGUUCCUUCGGGGAUUCAGUGACGAAGCUAACGCGUUAAGCAUGCCGCCUGGGGAGUACGAUCGCAAGAUUAAAACUUAAAGGAAUUGACGGGGACCCGCACAAGCGGUGGAGUAUGUUGUUUAAUUCGAUGCUACGCGAGAAACCUUACCGACCCUUGACAUGUCGCACGCGAUUUCCAGAGAUGGAUUUCUUCAAUUCGGUUGGUGCGAACACAGAUACUGCAUGGCUGUCGUCAGCUCGUGUCGUGAGAUGUUAGGUUAAGUCCUGCAACGAGCGCAACCCACGCCCUAUGUUACCAGCGGAUAAUGCCGGGGACUCUUAGGGGACUGCCCGCGUCAAGUGGGAGGAAGGUGUGGAUGACGUCAAGUCAUCAUGGUUCUUACGGGUCGGGCUACAAACGUACUACAAUGGCUACAACAAUGGGUCGCGAUGCGGUAACGCAAAGCCAAUCCUUAAAAGUGGCCUCAGUUCGGAUUGUCCUCUGCAACUCGAGGGCAUGAAGCUGGAAUCGCUAGUAAUCGCUGAUCAGAAUGCAGCGGUGAAUACGUUCCCGGGUC
rnacentral:rRNA from 1 species